rnacentral:rRNA from 1 species
UACGUAGGCGGAAAAUUAAGUCAGUAGUGAGAUCCUGCAGCUUAACUGUAGAACUGUUAUUGAUAUUGGUUUUCUUGAAUAUAGUUGAGGUAGGCGGAAUGUGUAAUGUAGCGGUGAAAUGCUUAGAUAUUACACAGAACACCGAUUGCGAAGGCAGCUUACUAAGCUAUGAUUGACGCUGAGGUACGAAAGCGUGGGGAGCGAACAGGAUUAGAUACCCUGGUAGUCC